AUUGAACGCUGGCGGCAGGCCUAACACAUGCAAGUCGAACGCGUGGCGGACGGGUGAGUAAUGUCUGGGAACCUGCCUGAUGGAGGGGGAUAACUACUGGAAACGGUAGCUAAUACCGCAUACCAUCAGAUGUGCCCAGAUGGGAUUAGCUAGUAGGUGGGGUAAUGGCUCACCUAGGCGACGAUCCCUAGCUGGUCUGAGAGGAUGACCAGCCACACUGGAACGGAGACACGGUCCAGACGCCUACGGGAGGCAGCAGGGGGGAAUAUUGCACAAGGGGCGCAAGCCUGAUGCAGCCAUGCCGCGUGUAUGAGGAAGGCCUUCGGGUUGUAAAGUACGUUCAGCGAGGAGGCGUUACUCGCAGAAGAAGCACCGGCUAACUCCGUGCCAGCAGCCGCGGUAAUUC
rnacentral:rRNA from 1 species